GACGAACGCUGGCGGCGUGCUUAACACAUGCAAGUCGAACGGAAAGGCCCUGCUUUUGUGGGUGCUCGAGUGGCGAACGGGUGAGUAACACGUGAGUAACCUGCCCUUGACUUUGGGAUAACUUCAGGAAACUGGGGCUAAUACCGGAUAGGAGCUCCUGCUGCAUGGUGGGGGUUGGAAAGUUUCGGCGGUUGGGGAUGGACUCGCGGCUUAUCAGCUUGUUGGUGGGGUAGUGGCUUACCAAGGCUUUGACGGGUAGCCGGCCUGAGAGGGUGACCGGCCAAAGUGGGACGGAUAUACGGCCGAGACUCCGAGGGGAGGCAGCAGGGGGGAAUAUUGCAGAAGGGGCGGAGGCCUGAUGCAGCAACGCCGCGGGCGGGAGAACGGCCUGCGGGUUUUAACCCGCUUUCGCCUGUGACGAAGGGUGAGGGACGGUAAGGGGUAAAGAAGCACCGGCUAACUACGUC
rnacentral:rRNA from 1 species